rfam:Fomitiporia mediterranea MF3/22 unplaced genomic scaffold FOMMEscaffold_3, whole genome shotgun sequence.
GGUUCGGUGGUCUAGUGGUUAUGACGCCUGUCUUACAUAAUGCACACAGGCGAUCGCCGGUUCGAUCCCGGCCCGAAUCA